AUUGAACGCUGGCGGCAGGCCUAACACAUGCAAGUCGAGCGGAUGAAGGGAGCUUGCUUCUGGAUUCAGCGGCGGACGGGUGAGUAAUGCCUAGGAAUCUGCCUGGUAGUGGGGGAUAACGUCCGGAAACGGGCGCUAAUACCGCAUACGUCCUGAGGGAGAAAGUGGGGGAUCUUCGGACCUCACGCUAUCAGAUGAGCCUAGGUCGGAUUAGCUAGUUGGUGGGGUAAAGGCCUACCAAGGCGACGAUCCGUAACUGGUCUGAGAGGAUGAUCAGUCACACUGGAACUGAGACACGGUCCAGACUCCUACGGGAGGCAGCAGUGGGGAAUAUUGGACAAUGGGCGAAAGCCUGAUCCGGCCAUGCCGCGUGUGUGAAGAAGGUCUUCGGAUUGUAAAGCACUUUAAGUUGGGAGGAAGGGCAGUAAGUUAAUACCUUGCUGUUUUGACGUUACCAACAGAAUAAGCACCGGCUAACUUCGUG
rnacentral:rRNA from 1 species